AGUACAAAACCGCAUAAAAACAGAAAAGAGACCCUAAGAACCCUAGAUCUGAUCCAUCUUCUUCACAGCCAAAAAUGGCGAAAGACAAUGCUCAGCUAAAGGCCGCGAAGCGCCUGUACCGGAACGCCGUGGAGGUGGGCAACCAGCAGGAAGAGGCAAGGUGGGCGAACGUGAUGGAAAAGAUCUUCCAAAGAUAGUUGAUCGUCAUUGUUCAAAAAAGAAAUGCUAGAGGCUUUAAUGGAAUCGAGUGUUCGUCAGUUCCUGUCUUAGAGAUUGUUCGUGCCAAACAGAGACAGUCAUUCACUCUUCCGACUCUACAAUGGUUAAUGCUAGAAGAAGACGGGACAAUCAGAGAAACAAGCAACAAAGGGAAGCGGUCCGUAGGCAGCGUCAGGAGGAUGAGGGUCAGUUCUAUGAGGAGCAUGAGGAAGUUCAACAGACUCGGGAUCAGGGAGGAGAUCCAGAGUUUCCUCCUCACCUCAAUGACCUUAUUGCUCGGGUUAUAGAAGUAGGGGUAAUCGCUGCACUUCGGAAUCAGCCUCAAGUACAGCCGGCACUGUUACCAGCAUCGGUUGUUCAGACUGAUACUUGGGAGAAGGCCAGGAGUUCUUUCACAAAGGGGAGUCCACCUGAGUUCACAGGCUCCACCGAUGCGAGAGCAGCUCAUCAGUGGAAAUUGGAUAUCGAGCGACAUCUUCGUUUGGUUCAUUGCACGGAGGUUCAGAAGCAGAUGUUUGCCACCUUCAAGCUAGUUGGGGAUGCAUUACAGUAGUGGGAGUCGGUUACCACCGCAGAGGAGAGGAUGGCAUUGACUUACAAUGAGUUCAGUGCACGCUUUAAAGAGAAGUAUUUCCCUUAUGCAGUUAGGGCAGCCAUGAAGACUGAGUUUCUUAAUCUGCAGCAGGGGAACAUGACAGUAGCGGAGUAUGAGCAGCAGUUCACACGCUUGUCUCUCUUUGCACCGGAGGAGGUGGAUACAGAGGAGAAGAAGCGCAACAGUUUCGUCAAGGGACUGAUGUGGUCUAUCAAGAGAGCUAUUACGGGUAGUCCAGCCUAUACUACCUAUGCUCAGGUGGUAGACGCCGCUUUACAGCAGUAUCAAUUGACCGUGGAUAUCAGACAGGCCAAGGGUGAGAAGCGAGGUGACAAAGACUCUGCUAAUCAGUCAGCUAAGAAAGGGAAUAGGAACGGACACCGACAGAAUGACAAGGGCAAGUUCCAGGGACAGCAGCCUUGGAAGAAACACAAGGGUGGUUCAGAUGUUCCCAGGGAUGUGGCAUCUAUUCAGCGACAGCAGAAUAGGGGACCAUAGGCAGGACAGGGUCAGCCACUGGCUAACCGACAGAGGAGGCCAUUUGGUACUUUCCAGGGUAGUUGCUACACUUGUGGAGAGUAUGGUCACACUUCUAGGCAGUGUCCUACAGUAAGAUAGGGACAGAGAUAGGGACAGCAUGUGCAGCAGGGGCAGAGGGCGCCAGUGCCUUUACCAGCUCCACAGGUUCCAUGGAUUCAGGGACAAACAUAUCCGGCUUUACCAGCGCCGCCGCAACCUCAGGGACAGGCACCGCAGCAGUUACAUUAUUGCAGGGUGUACAACCCCAUGCCACAGGAUAUGCAGGCACCUCAGGCUGUUGAGGGUGUUCGUCAGUUCCAGUCUUAGAGAUUGUUCGUGCCGAACAGAGACAGUCGUUCACUCUUCCGACUUUGCGUAGGACUCUUCUUCAUGAUUUAAUUAUUAGUUUUAUUUCAGUUCAGUUAUUUCAGUUAAGAUAUUAUUAGGGGUCCACAAUAUGGAUUCUCAAGUUGUGGUUUUAAUUAAUUACUGGUAUCAGAGGAUUGGAGGAUUUUAUUAUUGGAUUUUUAAUUAUUAUUUAGUUGAGGAUUUUAAAAUAGGGAUUUAUUAUUUAGUUUC